rnacentral:tRNA from 1 species
GGGCCUAUAGCUCAACUGGCAGAGCAGCGGACUUUUAAUCCGCGGGUUCUGGGUUCGAUCCCCAGUGGGCCCACCA